CCUACGGGAGGCAGCAGUGAGGAAUAUUGGUCAAUGGACGAGAGUCUGAACCAGCCAAGUAGCGUGAAGGAUGACUGCCCUAUGGGUUGUAAACUUCUUUUAUAUGGGAAUAAAAUGUUCCACGUGUGGGAUUUUGUAUGUACCAUAUGAAUAAGGAUCGGCUAACUCCGUGCCAGCAGCCGCGGUAAUACGGAGGAUCCGAGCGUUAUCCGGAUGUAUUGGGUUUAAAGGGAGCGUAGGUGGAUUGUUAAGUCAGUUGUGAAAGUUUGCGGCUCAACCGUAAAAUUGCAGUUGAAACUGGCAGUCUUGAGUACAGUAGAGGUGGGCGGAAUUCGUGGUGUAGCGGUGAAAUGCUUAGAUAUCACGAAGAACUCCGAUUGCGAAGGCAGCUCACUGGACUGCAACUGACACUGAGGCUCGAAAGUGUGGGUAUCAAACAGGAUUAGAGACCCUUGUAGUC
rnacentral:rRNA from 1 species